ACACCACAGCUCAGGGCAACACCAGAUCCUUAACCCACUGAUCGAGGCCAGGGAUCGAGCCUGCAACCUCAUGGUUCCUAGUCAGAUUCGUUAACCACUGAGCCAUGCCGGGAACUCCUUAAAACCCUUUUGAUGGACAUUUAGGUUAAUUUUUUUUUUUUCUUCUCUGUUACAAAACCAUCACAGUAAACUUCCUUCAAUAUGCUUCCUUGUGCGUAAGUGUGAAUGCUUCUUUACACAUUUCUAUCACACUGUUUAUGCUGCGAUCUUUUAAAGUAAGCUACCUGUAUGAUCGCUAUAAAUAACCGAAAAAUAGAAAUGAGUUCAUGGAACCCAUCUGUCAUUUUUACUUUAAUGACUCCUGCCAAACUGCUGUCGAAGACGACUAUAGCUAUUUGUACUCCUGUGAGAGUUCUGUGAAUGCCUAUCUCCAGCGUCCUUUCUCUCAUGUGUUACAUGCAUUGAAAAUCUUCUCUUCAGUCAUUUGUCUUCAUUUGGAGGAGGGAAGGUCUUGCACAGAAAUCCAUAAUAUUUUCUCUUUGUGAAGGAUUAGGGCAGAUCUCAAAACCUUGUUUCUAUGGUUAUAGGAUCGAAGGUAACCUCGUUUACUAUUAGGAACAGUUAUUAUAACAGUUGACAACUUGGAUCUUACUGUGUAGUGAGAACUAUGAAUUAUUUGACGUACCGUCACAGUACACUCUCUAAGUGCUGAGAGUAGGAUCAGUUUACACGUGAGAAAACUGAGGACAGAGAGCCAUUGAGUCAUUUGACCAAGAGCUGAUAUUCAUUUCCAGGUUUUUUUAGCCCAAAGCCCACAGAAUUAAUAACUAUGCACUGUGGUUCUUCAAAGAUAUAGCAUGUAACAUCCAAGCUGACGAAUAUAGAAAUGUACUAACAACUACAUUACCAAUUCUUUAUAGAAUGGCAGAAAUUCGUAACAUUGCUUAAAAAAUAGAAAAUGCCUAAUUGUUUAAAAAGAGGUAGAAAAAUAUUACAAGCCUAGAAAAUAAAGUAGGAGGGCUGUUGGUUUUAUGUCUAAAAAUUCUCUAAGUGGCUAGAGUUUUAGCAGAAGUUUCUUUAAAAUGUUCAGGGUUUGAACAUUCAAGGUAUAAUUAAUUCACAUGUAAGUGAAGCCCUAUCAGAACAAAAAGGCACGUGAGAACGACUCAUUCAUUUUCUGAAAUCAGCAAAUGCGUCAGUGAUAGAACAUAAUAAAAGAAGAAUAAGAAAGAACAUUUCCUGUGGAGAGAGACGGUGGCAUAAGCUUUAAGAAAUACUUUUUAUAAAUGGAAAGCUUAAUCCAGUGUACUGGAUUAAAGCUAUUCUCCUUGACUCCUUGAAGAUAUACCUCUCACUCAUUGUACCUCUUUCCAACUUACUCUGCAUGUAACUGGGAUGGUUUCAAUCUGGACUCAUCUGCUGGGAAUUAACAUAGUCUCCUUCUAGUCUCUUGUUUCAAAGACUGAGUUCAAUGAUGGCAUAUCUGCCAAGGAAAUGCAAGACUGGAAGGCGAAUGAAGCCAGAAGCAUUAUCGCCCCCUUGGCAACGCUGACUAGAUCCUUAACUUUUAGAAAGUGACAGAAAAAAAAAUGUUUCUGUGAGUUUCCUGUGAAUUACUGGCUUCAGGGCUGCAGCUGCUAGAUUGUUGGUGGAAGUUUCUCGUGAUUCUAGCACUUCUGGGCUUUGGGAAAAUGAAACUCUUGGAAGUCUUGUACUCCCCUAAUUCUCUGUAUUAAAUCCUCUUUAGCCUGACUAUCUAAAGUGACGGACGUUUUUGUUAGACUCUUGCCUAUUAUUUGUACUUGGAGUGGUCCUUGCAGAAGGAUUUUACAGUGCAGUCUGAGGAUAUCUGACCCACUCGUGCUGAAGGUAAUGAUCAUCUCAUCGGCAGUCUGAGCACGUGUAUUGGUAAUCAUGACAUGUUAUCGAAAAAUAGUCCAUUAAGUGACUGCCUACAUUCGCCUGGGGUAAAGUGGCUAUUAAAGGCAAGGAUUUGGGGAAGCAAUAGUUCCUGCAAUAUAAUAUUAUUGUGGGAAUGACUACAAUAAUGUGUGCGUGCAACUGCUCAUUGCACGAGAAAACUCACCCAAAGACAAUAAUCAGCUCGUGCUUUUCAGUUCUUAAAGACCUGGUUGGAAAUCCAGAGGGAUUCCAUAAUUGCUAUGAGACAUUUUGAUACUUUUUUAGUGAAUGGGCUGAUGUAAGCCAGAUCUAUAGUUUGAUUUUUGGAAUAUCAAUUAUAAUUGAACAGAAUUCAUAAUCUCUUCAUGGCUUUUAUAUGGAAGUUGGGGUAUUUAUUGGCAAAUAUUGGGACUUCAAUGAAAGGAAUGGGUAUGCCUGAGUGGAUUGCAAUUAGUUUCUUUGCUGUUAUUCAUUGAGUUGGCUGUGUGUGUGUGUGUGUUUUUUUUCUUUCACUAAUUAGCAAAUUCUACUGAAGCAGACUUCUUUCACUGAAACACACUCAGUGUCUCUUAUCUCAGCUCUGACAACCCGAGUCCUUUGUUAUCAUCUAGUCCAAGGAAACUUUGAUUGUAUCACCAUUCGAACCUUAUGCUGAUCUACUUUAUCAAUUGACUGCAUUGAUUGAACCAUGCUGAUUGGGGAUGUGGAUCAUGGAAUGCAAUUUCCAUAGAUGCUUUUUAAAGACGUGUACCUUCCCGUGAAAACUGAGGGACCCACCCAUUGGUAAACAUUUUAGAAGUUCUGAGGUUGAUGACAUAAUACGAUAUUCCUUCAAAAUGAAAAAUGAGUUUCAAUCCUGUUUCUCACAAAGCAAAACGAGGUGCAAUGGUAGUUGAACCUUUUUGGAUCUGGGAAAUAGCAUACAUCAAAUUAGAGCACACUGCUGUGGCAGACAGAAUAAUGUUCUCCCCAGAAAGAGUCCCACAUUCUAAGCCUGAGGACAUGCGGAUGUGUUACCUUCCGUGACAGAAAGAACUUUGCAGACGUAAUUAAGGCUCUUAAGAAGGAGCCAUUACUCUCGACUAGCAGGGUGGGGACAGAUGUAAAAAUCACAGGGUCAUCAGUAGAGGUUGGAGUGAUGUGCUGGGCUAUCAACUGAGAGGAAGGGGCUGAAUCAGGGAAUGCAGGUGGCCCUGGAAACUGGAAAAGGCAAGGGAACUGCAAACCUCCAGAAGGAACACAGCUCAGCUAGCAUCUCGAUUUUAGACUUCCGAACUCAAGAACUAUAAAAAGAAUAAAUGUGUGGUUUUUUAAUUAAAAUAUAGCUGAUUUACAAUAUUGUGCCUAUUUCUGCUGCACAGCAAAGUGACCUAGUCGUAUAUAAUUCCCUGUCUUAUAUUAUUUUCAAUUUGUGUUGUUUUUCAUCCAAAUUGUGAUAAUUAGCAAAAGAAAACUAGCCCAGCUAAGGUAACAAAUGUAUUGUGUAGACUGUAAAAGCAUCAGUUUCAAGAACCAGAACAAGCUUUAGAGAACUACAACCCUGCGAAUCCCUGGUUUGGUCCUUUUGUAUCUGUUCCCCCGUGGUGGCUGUCAUAAGUCCCAGAAGACUCACAAAACAGACUCAUAUAUAUGUGUGCACACACAUCAUGCAAUAUAUGCUUACAUAUACAUACAUGUGAUAAAUAUAAAUAUGUAUUUAUAAAACGUUAAGGUAGAAAAAAGGACUCAUCUUUAUGUAUUGAUACACAUAUAUUUUUGACAAUGAUGAUAUAUAUCCAUAUAUAUACUUAUCAAAGAUAUGUUCCUUCCUGUAAUUAUUCAUCUUUGGGGAAAUACUUCCAGACUUUAUUUUGGGCUCUGGGAGGUAUUGAAAGACUGGCCACAGAACCGCAAGUGACCAUAUGACCUGAGCUGGUGAUUAUUUAUUAUGAACUCAGCAUUACCUAAUCUGACAGCCCAUAAUGCUGGGCAUUUACGGCAACAUCCUAUCAGUAGGUAGAUGUGCUUUAGAAGAAAUCAGUCACAAGCCUGGCCUUAAACACAAGAAAAUACUAUCCUCUCUGGAUCACAAUCACGUGAUACCUGCUUUGGCUUCAUCUCCACCUCCUCCCCAUCCACAACACUACCAAAAAAACCAAACAACCCCAUCGAAAAUAGGCAGAAGAUCUAAACAGACAGUUCUCCAAAGAAGACAUACAGAUGGUCAGGAAACACAGGAAAAGAUGCUCAUCACUCAUCAUUAGAGAGAUGCAAAUCAAAACCACAAUGAGGUACCACCUUACACCAGCCAGAAUGGCCAUCAUCCAAAAGUCUACAAACAAGAAGUGCUGGAGAGGGUGUGGAGAAAAGGGAACCCUAUAACACUGUGGGUGGGAAUGCAAAUUGGUGCAACCACUGUGGAAAACAGUAUGGAGAGUCCUUAGAAAACUAAACAGAGAAUUACCAUUUGAUCCAGCAAUCCCACUCCUGGGCACCUAUCCAGAGAAAACCAUGACUCGAAAAGACAUGUGUGUUCCGAUGUUCAUUGCAACACUCUUUUUAAUAGCCGAGACAUGGAAACAACCUAAAUGUCCAUCGACAGAGGAGUGGAUCCAGAAGAGGUGGUACAUAUACACAAUGGAAUAUUACUCAGCCAUUAAAAGGAAAAAAACAGCAUUUGCAGCAACAUGGAUGGACUUAGAAAUUAUCAUGCUAAGUGAAGUUAGUCAGACAGUGAGACACCAACAUUAAAUGCUAUCCCUUAUAUGUGGAAUCUAAAAAAAAAGGAUACAAUGAACUUUGCAGAGCAGAUACUGACUCACAGACUUUGAGAAACGUAUGGUCUCUGGAGGAGACAGGUUGGAGGCUGGGGGAUGUGCUGGGUGUUUGGGAUGGAGGUGCUAUAAAAUUGGGUUGUGGUGAUCAUUGUACAACUACAAGUGUAAUAAA
rnacentral:lncRNA from 1 species